GGCAGGGGGCGUGUCUAUGUGUAAAAAGGGGCAGGCGAGGAGGGGGGAGAGCUGGCAGCGAGCCAGCUGCCAUCAGAAUUAGCUCAUUGUUCGAUAUAACCGGCACUGGCAACCAAAAUCCAGCCUGAGACAGAGGGAGAGACUUUUCCCCUAGCCACCCCCACCCUUUUUUCUUUUUUUCUCCCAAGACUGCACCUUGGAAGAGGUGCAGUCAUUCUUCCCCACACCCCUUACCCUCUCUCCACUCCCCCAACUAUAAAUUCCCUUCCGUAGCGUGCUGGCAUUUUUUAAUCCACAUUUGUGUUUCAGAUCAUGUAGAAAGGACAGAAAGUGAGCAGGGAGCGGGGGCUAUUAUCUAUUGUUCUCCUUGUGCUACUUGAGAGAAACUGCAAUCCCAAGACUUAACAGAAUCUAAAAAUGCUUUGGACAAGAGGAGAAAAAUUUGGGGAUGGCCUUUCAGAAAGAAAACAGUUGGGGAAAAAGCAGCUUCUGGUAUGGCAUGAGAAAACCAUUGGCUAUU